GCAUUAUUACCAAUAAAAAUUCAUUAGCUUUUCAAAACUGAAAUAAUAAAAAAGAAAAAGAAGGUGACAACAAAGACAUAAAAGGAAGGUCCAUGAGACUCUGGCAAUUGAUUUAUAAUAUGAAUCAUGCUUAGCAAAUUAUAAGGCAACUGAAUGACUAGGUUAACAAGCCAUAACAGCAAAAAUAAAAAACACAACCAUUAACAGAACACCAUUAACAGCAAAAAUAAAAAACACAACCAUUAACAGCAUUAACAGCAAAAUCAAAAUCAUAACACCAUUAACAGCAUUAACAGCAAAAUCAAAAUUAACAGCAAAAUCAAAAUCAG
rnacentral:lncRNA from 1 species